rnacentral:rRNA from 1 species
GCAGCAGUGGGGAAUAUUGGACAAUGGGCGAAAGCCUGAUCCAGCCAUGCCGCGUGAGUGACGAAGGCCUUAGGGUUGUAAAGCUCUUUUGGCGGGGACGAUAAUGACGGUACCCGCAGAAUAAGUCCCGGCUAACUUCGUGCCAGCAGCCGCGGUAAUACGAAGGGGACUAGCGUUGUUCGGAAUUACUGGGCGUAAAGCGCACGUAGGCGGAUUUGUAAGUCAGGGGUGAAAUCCCGGGGCUCAACCUCGGAACUGCCUUUGAUACUGCAAGUCUCGAGUCCGAUAGAGGUGGGUGGAAUUCCUAGUGUAGAGGUGAAAUUCGUAGAUAUUAGGAAGAACACCGGUGGCGAAGGCGGCCCACUGGAUCGGUACUGACGCUGAGGUGCGAAAGCGUGGGGAGCAAAC